AACAGGGAAGCCUGGCAUGCUGCAGUCCAUGGGUUCGCAAAGUCGGAUACGACCGAGCGACUAACAACAAGGCAGCAAGGUAAUUCGUCUAGUAUAUCCAGCUCACCAAGGUCCGACCCGGCCCUCCUGCCUUCAGUCUUGUAUCCUGUUCUUCCCACCGUCUUCAACACAUCAACUUCAUUCUCUUCCUAGUUCUUGUUUUCUCAUCAAUUCACAAACUGAACCCCGUGUGACGCCUGCUAGCAAUUCCCCCUUCCUGGUCCUCCCCUUCCAGGACUUCCUUUUUCCUUCUAUAACAAGCUGGAAAUUCAGAGUCCAUAGCGUUCUACCUGCUCCAUGGGGCCCCAUAGGGAGUUCUGAUUCUGGAACUUUCUGUCAUACUUGAGCCAUCCUUGGCUGGCAGGUUUUGGAGGUGACACAUGUCACCUCCUUAACUCGAGCCCCUGUGCCUUUACCCAGACUGUCCCUUACUACACUUCACUAGUGUUUGAGUUGUAGCUGCUCCUGUGUUUCUAACCCAUAUGGUCCUUUAGAGAAGGGGCUGGGCUUUGCGUUCUAUACGGUGCAUAACACAGGGCACAAGAUAAAUAUAUGCGGAAUGAGAGGCUGCAAGUCUCAUGUUACUCUUUGGUACUUCAGAACUUCAGGACUAAAGUAUGUGUUUUUAAAUCUGACCAAGGGACUUCUCUUGGCUCUCACCCUUCCCUGGGGGCCUAUGCAUGUACCCUCUGCCUGGACCCCUCUGAACCCCACCCCUGGUAUCCCCUGCUUCUCCCCCUAUGAUAUCUCAUCCCCCACCCCCGGGGAGAGGCAGGAGACUCCUUCAGUCUCACUGUGUCAGUCCCUCCUCUGUCUUCCCAUGGAGCCUUCUUUGUGCUUCUGUUAUACAACCUGCCCUGUUACACUGUGAUUUCUUCUCUCUCUCUUUCCCACUCAACCAACAGCUCCAUGGGAGCCACAGCCACGUCUCAUUCAUGGAAUAGAUGCUCAGUAUGUGUUUGGUUCAGUCAGUCUUCCAGCAAUUUAGAAAAGCCCCACCUCCUCACAGCUGCCCACCUUCCCUCCUACACACAGUUCCAGAUUUUCACACAUCUAGAGCCUCCCCAGAGCUUGCUUUGUGUGGAGCUAAGCACGUAGUAGGUAUUCAAUAAAAACUCGAAGGCUGAUAUGCAUGUAUCUCCUCCCUCCAAAAUGAGGACAUAACAGCACUUCUUAGCUGAAAUCAAGAGACCCAGCUGGGGCCGAGUAAACCAGGAAUAAGCUGCCAAAAACAGCUAAGCACACUCGUCCGUACAGCUGGCAGGCCAAGAACUGCUCACUCCAGCUCUGCCUCGUAGAGCAGGAGCAGUUUGCCAGGCCCUCCUCCCCCACCCCAGGAGCUGUUCCUCUUGCCCUCCGUGGAGAUCCCAAAUAAGGCAACCCAAAGCCAAGCUAGAGGAAGAUAAAGGAGGAGCUCAAAGAAGGGGCUCGUUCCAGCUGCAUGGUGCUGUGUGUUUUUAAAGGAGAGAAAACAGAAUUAAAAGAAUGCCUUUUCUCUUUCAGAGACAACCACAAGCAAAAUUACCCAGGCUUUCCCACCUCCAGAAGAUUUUUUUUUCCCCCUAAUAGGACUUAGAACAUAGGGAAGAAGGUUCAAGCUUUGCUUGACAUCCAGUCACUCUCCCCACUUUCCGCUUGAUGGAGCAGGUCUACACCCGCUGUGGCUUCUCAACAUCAGGGGAACUGACUCAAUACCCGCAUGCGUGCAUGUGUUUUUCACAAGGGAAGCUGGGAGGUACAAUCUCUGUACAAGAUAAUCUCUGGCAUCAUCACACUUGAGAAGCUGAAGAAGCUGUGAAGUCACCAUCACCCAUUCCAAAAUCCUAAACCUAAGAGAAGCCAACGACAGAAUUCUUGUGACAUCGCAAAACAGAUCAAUGGUGGUGAAAAUGCGUGACUCAUACAGGUGCCAUGGGACCUACCUCAUUGAUAAGUGUACUGUGAAUUGUGUUCAGCUCAAGGCUUCCUCCCACAGUGGAAGAACCUCCUCUUCUCAGAGGCUCCAUGACCCCAUCCCAUUCAUAAACCAGAGCCUGAGCUUAUGAAUGAAUCACACACAGAGCUGAGAAGUCUCACAGAGAGGACUCCUGACCCUCUGCCCUCACUCCAUCCCCCCUACAAUCUAAUUCAUCAAAUCUGGUUACUGAUUUCAAGUCUAACUUUAAGUUAAUUUUGGAUAUACUACUUCUCACUCCAAAGUAGAAAAGAGCUGGAGUGCUUCCUAGUUAGAGGAAAUAAUCAUGGAAGUGUUUCUUAGAGUUAAUCAAAGGUACUCUUCUUUCCUAUAUUAAAAUACGCAAAAUUAAAUUAUACCAAGAUUGGUCUUUAUUCUUUUCAUUCCCUCAUAGGUUUGAGUUGUCACCUGAAUGGUGCUCUAUUUCUAAAUAGCAUUUCCCUCCCCAGCACACAAGCUAUUUUAUUUGUCUGGCUUACACAGCUGCCAGCCUCAGCAAUGUCAUACACCUGGCAUUUCCACUCCCCCGUGUUUUCGCCUUUCCAGCCAAGAACUCUGGCCUUCUGUACCUGCUCCCCACUAAAGAACACUUUCUUCAAUGUAA